rnacentral:lncRNA from 1 species
AAAAGGUCAAUCCAGAAAAUACAUACUGGUUCAUGGAAAAGAAACUGUGAGUGUAAGACUUCUCAAACCAUUUGAUGUCAACAUAAUGAUAAAACUAUAUAGUAGGAUUUGCUUCUAGUAAUUCUUAAGAUUUUUGGUUAUCUUGUGAAGUGCUGAGGUGCAACUUUGUGUUACUGUAUUCCCUUAAAAACUAUAUAUGUGAAUGGUUUAUAUAACAUAAUAACAUAACAUGAUUUACAAAGGUUGCAAUACAUUUCAUAUGAAGAAACCACAGUUUCUUUAUCACUGUCAUGGAUACAAUGCCCAAAUGUUUAUGUAGUGGUUGAGAAGAGGUAUGAAUAUGACAAUGCAUUCCAAUGUCCAACAAAAUGUCCUUAAAUGUUAUUAUGUAAAAGGAAUAUUGUAUGUUGAAUGAGAUGACUAUUUUUGUGAAUGCAAGCAAUUCAGAGAAUGACAUCUUCAAGUUCUCUUCUUUUAUAUAUGGGAUCAGUUUUUUACUAUAAGCUUGCUCUGUGAAUUUUUGUAAUAUUAGAUAUAUUAUAUAUGGGAAUUCUUUUAUAUUAUAUAUUGCUUAUUUGGUGUUUCUUACCAUGUUGAAUUUUCAAUGAAUUUUUUUCCAAUCUUCUCACUUUUCCCCUUUUAAGAAUUAUUUAGAUUGUUUCAUAUGCACUUUUUAAGUACAGGUUUUCUAAUAUAAAUGAAUAGUAAAUUCAAAAUGUUGUAGAGUGUUAGAUAUCUUACCUGAUCAUACAAGAAAACUUUAUUUCUUUCUGCUUCCCAACUCCUAGUCAUUUUUAUAAGCAAAUCUACCAGAGCUGGAAAAUAGCAACCACUGAAUGUGAGCAUGUGUGUUAUUGCUGCCAGUUGGUUCAAAUUUUAUUGUGUCGGUCUUAUCAUAUAUACCUGGCAUUCUACUGACCAUUAUACGGGCACGUUCAGCUCGUCUCAAGUUUUUAUGGGCUCCUCUACUUACUGAGUAUCGAUUCUCAUCCUGAAAGUACACUUGGGUUAUGAAACAUAUUACAGAUGCAUUCAUGAUAAAAUUCUAUUUAUGAAGAUUGAUUCAAAUGAAAAUUCUAACCAUGCUGUAUUCUUCUAGCCAGCGCUCCUCAUCACGUGCUAACAUCCACUUCUCAACUUUUUCCAUUAUAGCCUUCCUGCUGGAAGCCUCUUCUCUUGCUCUUGAUAUCUGUUCAUCCAUGCUCAUGAGGAGGUCGGAAUGGUCAAUCUCCCCUUUUAUAGAUGUAAGUCAAUUUUUAGGCUGGUUUAAUUUUAAAGUGAAUAUACAUAAGCAUGUUGAAAUGUGUUGCACACAUUAGUUUGGUUCACCUGAGUUUAUGAGGCUAAUUAUAUUGUUCAUUUCUGUCCGUGAAGGAAUCUCCACGUGAGAUAUCUUGCAUAUCAACUCUAGUUCCUCCUGCUUCUUCUGGAAAAGCUCCUUGGUCUUGCUUGCUUUUAGUUGAUCUAGUCUUU